rnacentral:rRNA from 1 species
GACGAACGCUGGCGGCGCGCUUAACACAUGCAAGUCGAACGGAAAGGCCUGCUUUCCCUUGUGGAUUGCGGGUACUCGAGUGGCGAACGGGUGAGUAACACGUGAGUGAUCUGCCCCCAACUUGGGUAUAAGCCUGGGAAACUGGGUCUAAUUCCCGAUAGGACUGCAGGGUGGUGCCUGUGGUGGAAAACGCUUUUCUCGUGGUUGGGGAUGAGCUCGCGGCCUAUCAGCUUGUUGGUGGGGUAAUGGCCUACCAAGGCGGCGACGGGUAGCCGGCCUGAGAGGGUGGACGGCCUCAUUGGGACUGAGAUACGGCCCAGACUCCUACGGGAGGCAGCAGUGGGGAAUAUUACACAAUGGGCGGAAGCCUGAUGCAGCGACGCCGCGUGGGGGAUGACGGCCUUCGGGUUGUAAACUCCUUUCGACCGCGAGGAAGCCACCUGGUUGGAAGGGUGGUGACGGUAGUGGUAGAAGAAGCACCGGCUAACUACGUG